rnacentral:rRNA from 1 species
UACAUAGCUUAAUGAGGGGAACUCAGGGAACUGAAACAUCUAAGUACCUGAAGGAAGAGAAAGAAAUUCGAUUCCGUAAGUAGCGGCGAGCGAACGCGGAUUAGCCCAAACCAAUAAAGUUUUCUUUAUUGGGGUUGCGGACAUAUCAUAACGAAGAGGUAUCGUAAUUGAAGAGGUUUGGAAAGACCCACCACAGAAGGUAAUAGUCCUGUAUGUUAAACGAGAAGACUUUAGAUAUGAUCCAGAGUACCACGG